GCUGCUCUAUGCAUUGUGCCAUCUGGCUGCCCUAUUAAUGCUAAUUUUUAAGUGUAUUUUGCUUUAAGGUCUGAUCUACCUGUAGAGGGUCAAACAUCCCAGUUGUUCCUACAGAAGAACACAUGUGACUUUCAAUGAGCCCACAGUUUAAUUUAAUUCAGGAGAAACUCAGUCCAAUCUGAAUCUCAAUUUACAGUUACAAAGGGUCUAUAGAAUCCCAGUUUUCCCAAGGGCUAUUUGCUGCCAGCAUCUCAAAGUGCAGCCCCGCUACUUUCAGAGAGCCUGGUCCCCACAUUUUAUCUUAGCAGCCUUUCUGCUCAGAACAGGGAGGUUCUGAGUCCCAGAGCAGGCAGAGAGACUGAAGGAGAGGGUGGAGAGAUGGGGGAGGAGCAGCUCUCAGAGAUUACCAGCCUGGUGGGUGGUGCCCAGGUGGAAUACAGCCUGGGCUGGAGUUUGGGGCCUGGGAGGAGUCUAGGGCAGAUCAUUCCAGCAGCAAAGGCAUUCUUGGGGAGGAAAGGCAAGCAAGGUGGCCCUGGGUGUGAUUGGAGGAAAGGGCUCAUCUUGUGGUCCUUGGGGGCUGGGCAGUGUGGGGCCCCUCGCAGAGUGCGCUGGCUGGAAGCAGGAAGUCUUGCCUCUGAGACUGCUGUGCCUUCUUCCUUUGCAGCUAAGAUCUCUCUGCCUUCUUCCUUGGAGCUGAGAUCUCUUUACCUUCUGGAAGCCAGCACUGUGGGUGCAGGUCGCAGGCCAGCCUCCUGCCUAGGAAGAGAAGGGAAGGACAUUUCCCCCUUUGGAGUCCUUCUUCCUCCCCAGCUUAGUCUGCAGAGGACCAAGGCCCUCCCCAAGCAGGGAACCCAGAGCCUGAGGGAAUGGCCCCUGGGAGCCACAGACCCCCAUUUCAGAUGCAACUACCUCACAGAUAGAACACAAACUUUCUCCCUGACUCCACAGGGAGACCCAUUCCGUAAUAAGACAUUUCUCAGCUUUCUUCCAACUGAUGACUGUAUAAAAUGCUUUUCUCAAAAUUCCAUUGGGCUCUUACUGACUGAAGUUUCAAGAGUUGAGUGUGACACUCAUAAAGGGUAUGACCUUUGAGCUAAUCUCUUCUCUGGGCUUCAAGUUUCUUCCUAUAAAUCAAAGAGGAUUGGACUAUUUACCUCUGCAGUGUCUUUAAGCUCUAUGGCUUAUGACUUUUGAUGAUUUAGGAGACAGUGACAUUCAAGAAUGUGGCUGUGGACUUCACCCAGGAGGAGUGGGGCCUCUUGGACCUUCCUCAGAAGGAGCUGUACAAGGGGGUCAUGCUGGAGAAUGCCUGGAACCUGCUCUCCCUGGGUAAGGACACUUCCCCUGGUAACUCUGAGUCUGCAAGCAAAGGGAACAUCUUCAUUCCCUAGUGUGCAGGGUUUGGAGGAUCUAUCGAUCAUUAGACACAGAAAAGUGUUGGUCACCUGUGGCCAAGAGACAUACUCCCUGGUUUUCCUAUAAGAAGUCUCUGCAUUCUGUGCAAGGACCCUGAGGGUUUCCUUUGCUGCACCUGAUGCUGUCUCUCACCAAUCUACGUAGCUUCCGGUCAGAGACACAAUCGGUGUGGAAGAAUCUCAGAUGUCCAACUAAUCUUGGAGGUUAUUUGGUCUAACCUCUUGCUGGACAUGAAUUUUGUCGGCCAAAUCUCUGAGAAUUGCUCAGCCAGCUUUUCCUUGCAACCCCUUCCUCCCCAGGAUGGAUCUAGUAUUUGGAAUAGUCUUCUGUUUAACAAGCAGACAUUGGUGGCUCAUAGCUCUGUCUUGUGGCCUGGGUACAGAUUUGUCCUUCAUCUUCCUUCAUGUUGCCCCAAAAUUCCAGCACAGAUGGUGGCAAAGGAAGGGAAGCGAAUAAGCAUUUACAUUCACCCACUAUUUGCCAUGUGCUGGGAAAAGCGCUUUCCUCAUGAUAUUAUGUCAUUCUAUCUUCACAGUAACCUUUGAAGUUGAGUGAUAUUAUUAUGCCCAUUUUACACUUGGGAAGCUGAGGUUAAGUGGCUUGUCUAGGGGCACACUACUAUCUGUCUGAAGCCAGAUUUAACCUCAGGCAACCCUGACUCCAGGCCCAGGGCUCUCUCCACUGCACCAUCAGCUGCCUCUGAUUUCUAGACAAUGGAAACUAUGCAAUGAGUCCAUCCUUCUAUGAAGAAGGUGCACAAGAUCAAAUUCUCUGACUCCAAACCGGUUCCGUGACUUUUCCCCCUCCUCUCACCCAAAGGGGCAAACGCUCCCUGAAUGAACAGUACACAAGGGAUCUAUGGGUUUCAGGGAGUGAGGAGCCAGUGCAGGAGGACAGGGCAAAGGGUGAUUCAUCAAGGUCCCUGGAGCUGGGGCACAAUUACACUUUGAGCCAGUUUGAGGGUUAGGAGUUUCUGCCAGAAUGGAGCAUAACAGAAUGGGGGGCAGAGGGUUUGGCUGUUGUACAACACGUCCCAUUUUGGGUUACUUGCAUCACAAGCUCUGAUGGGUCAGUACAAACUCCUAUGUGUGGCCAGAAUGGAGUGAUUCUCAAAGUGGAGCAGCUCUGUGCCCACACUCCUCUCCCUAAAGUGAACUAAAUUACAAGUUUCUCUCCACGCUCAAGCCUAACUGACUCCCAUGCCCAGGGCUUGCAGUUCCCAGAGAAGAUGUGAUCUCUUAUUUUGAGCAAAGGGAAGCACCAUGGAUGCUGGAGCAAGAAGACCUGAGGAGCCGCUGUCCAGAAGAAGAGAUCAGACUGGAAGUGAAGGAAAUUACAGCAGAGCUAAGUCUUUCUGUGGAAGAAACUCAGAAGCAAAGAUCUAUGGAUGAUGGUCCUUGUGACAUCACUUGGAGCUAAAUCUGUGCUCUAUAUCAGAGAAUCCACACUGGAGAGAAACCUUAUGAAUGUGAUCAACAUGGAAAGGCUUUUAGAGAUAGCUCCACUCUUGGUCAACAUCAGAGAAUUCAAACUGGAGAAAAACCUUAUGAAUGUAAUCAGUGUGGAAAAUCUUUCCUAAAAAGGGCCACUCUUGCUAACCAUCAGAGAAUUCACACUGGAGAAAAACCUUAUAAAUGUAAUCAGUGUGGAAAGGCAUUUACACAGAGUGCCAGUCUUACAGUACAUCAGAAAAUCCACACUGACAAGAGAAACCUUUUGAAUGUAAUCACUGUGGAAAGGCUUUUACACAUAUGUUCACUCUUACUGUACAUCAGAGAACCCACAUUGGGGAGAAAUCUUAUGAAUGUAAUCAGUGUGGAAAAUUUUUCCUUCAGAGGAGCAGUUUUGCUCUCAUAAAAGAAUCCACACUGAAGAGAAACCUUAUGAUUGUAAUCAGUGUGGAAAGGC